CCUCAGGUCUGGGACAACCAUUGGAAACGGUGGCCUUUACCGGAUGUGCCUUUGGGUGAAAGAUUAAUUGCCUGAGGAUGAGCUCGCGUCUGAUUAGCUAGUUGGUGGGGUAAAAGCCUACCAAGGCUGCGAUCAGUAACUGGUCUGAGAGGAUGACCAGUCGCACUGGGACUGAGACACGGCCCAGACUCCUACAGGAGGCAGCAGUGGGGAAUUUUCCGCAAUGGGCGAAAGCCUGACGGAGCAAUACCGCGUGAGGGAGGAAGGCUCUUGGGUUGUAAACCUCUUUUCUCAGGGAAGAAUAAUGACGGUACCUGAGGAAUCAGCAUCGGCUAACUCCGUGCCAUUUGCCGCGGUAAUACGGAGGAUGCAAGCGUUAUCCGGAAUUAUUGGGCGUAAAGCGUCUGGAGGUGGAUAUUCAAGUCUGCUGUCAAAGACCGGGGCUCAACCCUGGAAAGGCGGUGGAAACUGAAGAUCUAGAGUGCGGUAGGGGCAGAGGGAAUUCCCAGUGUAGCGGCGAAAUGCGUAGAGAUUGGGAAGAACACCGGUGGCGAAAGCGCUCUGCUGGGCCUGCACUGACACUAAGGGACGAAAGCUAGGGGAGCGAAUGGGAUUAGAUACCCCAGUAGUCCUAGCCGUAAACGAUGGAUACUAGGCGUAGCUUGUAUCGACCCAAGCUGUGCCGUAGCUAACGCGUUAAGUAUCCCGCCUGGGGAGUACGCUCGCAAGAGUGAAACUCAAAGGAAUUGACGGGGGCCCGCACGAGCGGUGGAGUAUGUGGUUUAAUUCGAUGCAACGCGAAGAACCUUACCAGGGCUUGACAUGUCCGGAAUCCCUCUGAAAGGAGGGAGUGCCUUCGGGAGCCGGAACACAGGUGGUGCAUGGCUGUCGUCAGCCCGUGUCGUGAGAUGUUGGGUUUAUUUUGGCGGUGAGCGCGACCCUCGUUUUUAGUUGCCAGCAUUAAGUUGGGCACUCUAGAAAGACUGCCGGUGACAAACCGGAGGAAGGUGGGGAUGACGUCAAGUCAUUAUGCCCCUUACGCCCUGGGCUACACACGUACUACAAUGCUACGGACAAAGGGCAGCAAGCAUGCGUAUGCAAGCAAAUCCCAUAAACCGUGGC
rnacentral:rRNA from 1 species